ensembl:lncRNA
AACUUCUUAUUUGCAGGUGAUAUCAUUGUAUACAUAGAAAAGUCAAAGAAAACCUAUGGAGAAGUUAUUAGAAAUAAGUGAGUUUAACAAACUGACUGUAGAAAAAUUGUAUUUUUAUGUAUAAACAGCAAAUAUGAAAAUUAAGUGAUACGAGGACAGUUGUAUCCACCUAGGAUAGGGUAGCAGAGACCAGAUUUACCCUCCUGCCUGAAAAAACCAGGAAAAAAGAAAACUGACAAAAUAGAGGAAAUAAUUGUUUUCAAGUCAGUAGACAUCAGGCAAUAAAGGGCAGUGAUCCCUGCAAGUGAUGGCUAGGUUCACCAUCUUUAUUGCAGUGAUGGUUAUGCACAUUUAUCAAUUUUACCAAGAUGUUCACUUUAAAUACUGUGUUAAAUUCCUGUUAAAUUUACAGUAGCACUAAAACAGUAAGUUCUAGAAGUCCAAAAACUACAUCACAAAAUUCAGAGACAUUAAAAACCAAAAUAAAGGAAAAGUAUCCUUACUGUUUUGAUGACUUUGAAGCCUCAUUUCUCCCCAAAUUGAAUGGUAGAUUCAGUGCAACCCUAAUUGCUAUCCACUGGCAAGUUUUGUUCUUGGAAAUUAACAAGUCUGACUUUAAAAUGUAUAUGCAGAUGCAAUGACCAUAGCUAAGGUAAUCUGAAAAUAGAAAAAUAAAGCUGCAAGAUUUAGAUAGCCAGAUAUGAGGACUGUGGUAUAAGUACAAGGAUGCACAAUGUCUAGAAACAGGCCCAAACAUAUUGAUAUGUGGCAAAGGUGACACUGUAAUAUUGUGGUGAGAAGAUGGUGUUCUUGGUAAAUGAUGUUGGGUUAAUUGGCCCUCAAUAUUCACAAGAGCAAUGUAUUUUGACUAUAACCAUCACCAUACACAAAAAUCAAUUUCAUGUGGAUUAUGCAUCUAAAUGUGAAAGGUAAUACAAUAAUGAUUUUGGAAGAAAAUAUAGGUGAACAUCAUGACCUUAGCUAAGUCACCUUAAACAAGAAACAAAAACAGAGAAUUUGACCACAUUAGAAUUAAGAACUGCUAUUUGUUCAAAAAACAAAAAAACACAAGAGUUAAAAGUCAGCCAUAGACUGGGGGAAGGCAAUUGCAAUGUAUGUAUUUAACCAAGGACUCUUAUACUGCAUUUAUAAAGAACUACAAUAAAAAGUCAGAGGGGCCAGCCCCGUGGCCGAGUGGUUAAGUUUGCACGCUCCACUUCGGUGGUCCAGGGUUGCGCCAGUUUGGAUCCUGGGCACGGAUGUCUCACUGCUUAUCGAGCCGUGCUGAGGUGGUAAGAGGAAGAAGGAAAAAAAAAAAGCAGAAAAUUUGAACAUAAUUCACAAAGGUAUAUUUAAAUGGUGAGUAAAUGUAUGAAAAGUUGUUCAGCUUCAUUUGUCAUCAAGAAAAGGCAAAUUAGAACAAAAAUUUAAUACCACUACACACCAGAAUGGUUAAAAUGAUUAAAAUACCAACUGAUGAUGAAGAUAUGAACCAACUGGGACUCAAUACAAGUUUGGUGGGAGUGUAAAUUGUGUGCUUUCGGAAAUAAACUCUGCUAAAGCUGAACAUACUGUAAAUUUUGACUGUGUAAUUCUAGGUAUCUGUCCAACAAAUAUAAAUAUAUGUUGACUGAAAGAAUAUUCAUAAUAGUACUAAUCUCAAUAGCCCAGAAGUAGAAACAGCACAAAUAUCCACCGACACUAGAAUGAAUACAUAAAUUAUACUCUGUUCAUUCAGUGGUAUACUUUACAGCAUUGGGAAUGAAUGAACUACAAUUGCAUGCAUGCAAAAGAAACACAAAAGAGUACAUGCUAUAUGCUUUUAUUUAAAAAGCAGAUAAAUAUAAGGGAUUAGAAGUUGGGAUGGUGGUUGCCUGGAUGGUGGCAGAUUGCAGGGAUUGACUUGAGGUGGCUCCUCUGGUGCUAAUAGUGUUCUGUUUCUUGAUCUGGAUAUUGAUUGUAGGUGUCUUCGCUUUGCAAAAGUUAUUACUUGUGAAUUUUUAUUUAUACAUAUUCAUGUUUUAGUAUAAAAGUUCCUUAAUAAAAAUCAGAAAGUCGGAAUGUGCUGGCUCUCUGCUUAGAUCCCUCCAAUAACUUCUCAUCUUAAAAACUUAAAUAAGAUGAGUAAUUAGGACAACAGCAGUAAACGUGUGUGAAGAACCCCUUGUGAUAAGUGCUUAUAUAUGUGAGUAUUCUACAUAAUGUAUUUUGUUCUCUUAGCUAUGUGGCAAAUAACAAAGAUUUUCCAUGUUAAAUGCUAACCAGUUUUGCUAAAUUGUUCAAUAUGCAUUUUAAGUGAAAUAAUGUUUCACAAUUUUACCAUACCUCAUACAUAUUCUCUCACAGUUUCCUAGCAUAUAUAAGUGGAUAUAACCAGCGUUUUGUAUGAAAUUUUCAAUAAAGAAUUCAAACGUUGUGUUUAUGAAGUUCUCACCUGCCUCAGGAUCUACCA